AGCGAACGUUAGCGGCGGGCUUAACACAUGCAAGUCGAGCGCGAAAGGUGACUUCGGUUGCCGAGUAGAGCGGCGGACGGGUGAGUAACACGUGGAUAACCUACCUUUUAGUUGGGGACAACCACUCGAAAGGGUGGCUAAUACCGAAUAAGUCAUCAUAGACUGCGGUCAUUGAUGGGAAAGCUGGCCAAUACUUGUAAGCUGGCGCUGAAAGAGGGGUCCGCGUCGCAUCAGCUAGUUGGUGAGGUAAUGGCUCACCAAGGCAUAGACGCGUAGCUGGUCUGAGAGGAUGAUCAGCCACACUGGGACUGAGACACGGCCCAG
rnacentral:rRNA from 1 species